rnacentral:rRNA from 1 species
GACGAACCGUGCGAACGUUGUUCGGAAUCACUGGGCUUAAAGGGCGCGUAGGCGGGCUGUCCAGUCUGGGGUGAAAUCCCGCGGCUCAACCGUGGAACUGCCUUAGAUACUGACGGCCUCGAGGGAGAUAGGGGCAUGCGGAACUGUAGGUGGAGCGGUGAAAUGCGUUGAUAUCUACAGGAACUCCGGUGGCGAAGGCGGCGUGCUGGAUCUCUUCUGACGCUGAGGCGCGAAAGCUAGGGGAGCAAACAGG